CGCGACGCUGGCGGCGUGCCUAUACAUGCAAGUCGAGCGGACAGAUGGGAGCUUGCUCCCUGAUGUUAGCGGCGGACGGGUGAGUAACACGUGGGUAACCUGCCUGUAAGACUGGGAUAACUCCGGGAAACCGGGGCUAAUACCGGAUGGUUGUUUGAACCGCAUGGUUCAAACAUAAAAGGUGGCUUCGGCUACCACUUACAGAUGGCCCCGCGGCGCAUUAGCUAGUGGGGGAGGAACGGGUUACCCAAGGAACGAAGCCUAACCCAACUGGAAAGGUGAUCGGCCACACUGGGACUGAAACACGGCCCAAACUCCUACGGGAGGCAACAGUAAGGAAUCUUCCGCAAUGGACGAAAGUCUGACGGAGCAACGCCGCGUGAGUGAUGAGGGUUUUCGGAUCGUAAAGCUCUGUUGUUAAGGAAGAACAAGUACCGUUCGAAUAGGGCGGUACCUUGACGGUACCUAACCAGAAAGCACGGCUAACUACGUGCCAGCAGCCGCGGUAAUACGUAGUGGCAAGCGUUGUCCGGAAUUAUUGGGCGUAAAGGGCUUCGCAGGCGGUUUCUUAAGUCCUGAUUGUGAAAGCCCCGGCUUCAACCGGGGAAGGGUCAUUGGAAACUGGGGGAACCUUGGAUUGCAGAAGAGGAAGAGUGGAAAUUUCCCCGUGUAGCGGUGAAUUGGGUAAAAGAUGUGAGGAACCCAUUUGCCAAAGGCAACUCUUUGGUCUGAAAUUGACCCUGAGGACCGAAAGCUGGGGAAGCCAAACAGAAUUAAAAUCCCCUGUUAGUACACGCCGUAAACGAAGAGUGCUAAGGAUAGGGGGUUCCGCUCCCUUGAUGGUGAACUAACGAUUUAACCUCCCCCCUGGGGGAUUAUCGUCCUAAAAU
rnacentral:rRNA from 1 species